rnacentral:tRNA from 1 species
GCCUAGUUAGCUUGGAUGAUAGCGUGUCUGCCUUGUAAGCGGUAGGUCGCGGGUGCGAUUCCCGCCCGGGGCG